UACGAAGGGGGCUAGCGUUGCUCGGAAUCACUGGGCGUAAAGCGCACGUAGGCGGCUUUUUAAGUCAGGGGUGAAAUCCUGGAGCUCAACUCCAGAACUGCCUUUGAUACUGGAGAGCUUGAGUCCGGGAGAGGUGAGUGGAACUGCGAGUGUAGAGGUGAAAUUCGUAGAUAUUCGCAAGAACACCAGUGGCGAAGGCGGCUCACUGGCCCGGUACUGACGCUGA
rnacentral:rRNA from 1 species